rnacentral:rRNA from 1 species
CCGUAGCCCAAGAGAUCGGGAUAACACCUGGAAACAGAUGCUAAUACCGGAUAACAACAGAUGAUGCCUAUCAACUGUUUAAAAGAUGGUUCUGCUAUCACUCUUGGAUGGACCUGCGGUGCAUUAGCUAGUUGGUAGGGUAACGGCCUACCAAGGCGAUGAUGCAUAGCCGAGUUGAGAGACUGAUCGGCCACAUUGGGACUGAGACACGGCCCCAAAACUCCUACGGGAGGCAGCAGUC